CCCUUAGAUGUUCUGGGCCGCACGCGUGCUACACUGAUGCAUUCAACGAGUCUAAAACCUGGUCUGAUAGGGCUGGGUAAUCUUUUGAAAGUGCAUCGUGAUUGGGAUAGAUGAUUGCAAUUCUUCAUCUUCAACGAGGAAUGCCUAGUAAACGCAAGUCAUCAGCUUGCAUUGAUUACGUCCCUGCCCUUUGUACACACCGCCCGUCGCUACUACCGAUUGGAUGGCUUAGUGAGACCCUCGGACCGAUAGGCUGUCGCUGCAGCAAUGUGGCGACUGGCCCGUCUGGGAAGAAGGUCAAACUUGACUGUCUAGAGGAAGUAAAAGUCGUAACA
rnacentral:rRNA from 1 species